CAAAGAUUAAGCCAUGCAUGUGUAAGCACACACUGUUUUAAAAGUGAAGCCGCGAAUGGCUCAUUACAACAGCCACAGUUUAUUAGAACUUACAUACAUGGAUAACUGUGGUAAUUCUAGAGCUAAUACACGCACAAAAACUUCAACUAUACAAUGGUUGAAGUGCUUUUAUUAGAACAAAAACCGAACGGCGUUCGACUUGUGUUGAACGUCGAAACUCUUUGGUGAAUCUGAAUAACUAUUUCUGAUCGCAUGGUCUAGCACCGGCGACAUCACUUUCAAGUGUCUGCCUUAUCAACCUUCGAUGGUAGUCUAUGCGACUACCAUGGUGAUAACGGGUAACGGAGAAUCAGGGUUCGACUCCGGAGAGGGAGCCUGAGAAACGGCUACCACAUCCAAGGAAGGCAGCAGGCGCGCAAAUUACCCACUCCCAGCUUGGGGAGGUAGUGACGAAAAAUAACGAGACGAUUCUCGUUUGAGAAACGUUAUCGAAAUGAGUACGCUUUACACACGCUAACGAGUAGCAAUUGGAGGGCAAGUCUGGUGCCAGCAGCCGCGGUAAUUCCAGCUCCAAUAGCGUAUAUUAAAGUUGCUGCGGUUAAAACGCUCGUAGUUGAAUUGUGGUCUUAGACAACAGUCCCCCUAUAUAGGUGUGGCACGGUUGCUCGAGAUCUUCAUUCGUGGUUGCUGUUGUUGCUCUUCAUUGAGUGUCAAUGGUGCCUCGAGAUUUUACUUUGAAAAAAUUAGAGUGCUCAAAGCAGGUUGUGAUGCCUGAAUAAUGGUGCAUGGAAUAAUAGAAUACGAUCUCGGUUCUAUUUUGUUGGUUUUCGAACCGGAGAUAAUGAUUGAAAGGAACAGACGGGGGCAUUCGUAUUGCUGCGUUAGAGGUGAAAUUCUUGGAUCGCAGCAAGAUGAACAAUUGCGAAAGCAUUUGCCAAGAAUGUUUUCAUUAAUCAAGAACGAAAGUUAGAGGUUCGAAGGCGAUCAGAUACCGCCCUAGUUCUAACGGUAAACUAUGCCAACCAGCGAUUCGCCGAAGUUCAUUUAAGACUCGGCGAGCAGCUUCCGGGAAACCAAAGUGUUUCGGUUCCGGGGGAAGUAUGGUUGCAAAGCUGAAACUUAAAGGAAUUGACGGAAGGGCACCACCAGGAGUGGAGCCUGCGGCUUAAUUUGACUCAACACGGGAAAACUCACCCGGCCCGGACACUGAAAGGAUUGACAGAUUGACAGCUCUUUCUUGAUUCAGUGGGUAGUGGUGCAUGGCCGUUCUUAGUUGGUGGAGCGAUUUGUCUGGUUAAUUCCGAUAACGAACGAGACUCUACCCUAUUAAAUAGUGACAGUAUUGCAUAUUCUGUGCUGAUCACUUCUUACACGAAAAAGAGCAAUAACAGGUCUGUGAUGCCCUUCGAUGUCCGGGGCUGCACGCGCGCUACAAUGAAAGCGUCAACGUGAGUUACGUCCUUACCUGAAAAGGUUUGGCAAUCGAUUGAAACGUUUUCUUGAAUGGAAUAGGGAAUUGCAAUUGUUUCCCUUGAACGAGGAAUUCCCAGUAAGCGUGAGUCAUUAGCUCGCGUUGAUUACGUCCCUGCCCUUUGUACACACCGCCCGUCGCUACUACCGAUUGGAUGAUUUAGUGAGGUGUUUUGACUAGCGCCUGUAGUCGGAUGUAUAUUCGGCUUCGCGCCGGGAAAUUUCCCAAACCAAAUCAUCUAGAGGAAGUAAAAGUCGUAACAAGGUUUCCGUAGGUGAACCUGCGGAAG
rnacentral:rRNA from 1 species